AGAGUUUGAUCCUGGCUCAGGAUGAACUCUAGCGACAGGCUUAACACAUGCAAGUCGAGGGGCAGCGGGUAGAUGAGCUUGCUCAUUUAUGCCGGCGACCGGCGCACGGGUGAGUAACACGUAUGCAACCUGUCCGUCUCAGGGGGAUAAUCGUCGGAAACGGCGUCUAAUACCCCGUAUGAAGCUGGACGGCAUCGUCUGGUUUUGAAAGAAUAUCGGAGACGGAUGGGCAUGCGGCGCAUUAGCUAGUUGGCGGGGUAACGGCCCACCAAGGCGACGAUGCGUAGGGGUUCUGAGAGGAAGGUCCCCCACACUGGUACUGAGACACGGACCAGGCUCCUACGGGAGGCAGCAGUGAGGAAUAUUGGUCAAUGGGCGCGAGCCUGAACCAGCCAAGUCGCGUGAGGGAUGACGGCCCUACGGGUUGUAAACCUCUUUUGUCGGGGAGCAAAUUCCGCCACGCGUGGCGGAGUCGAGAGUACCCGAAGAAAAAGCAUCGGCUAACUCCGUGCCAGCAGCCGCGGUAAUACGGAGGAUGCGAGCGUUAUCCGGAUUUAUUGGGUUUAAAGGGUGCGUAGGCGGACUGUCAAGUCAGCGGUAAAAUACGGGGGCUCAACCUCCGCCCGCCGUUGAAACUGACGGUCUUGAGUGGGCGAGAAGUAUGCGGAAUGCGUGGUGUAGCGGUGAAAUGCAUAGAUAUCACGCAGAACUCCGAUUGCGAAGGCAGCAUACCGGCGCCCAACUGACGCUGAAGCACGAAAGCGUGGGUAUCGAACAGGAUUAGAUACCCUGGUAGUCCACGCAGUAAACGAUGAAUACUAGCUGUCCGGGGGCGAAUGGGCCCUGGGGUGGCACAGUGAAAGCGAUAAGUAUUCCACAUGGGGAGUAUCGUCGGCAACGGUGAAACUCAAAGGAAUGGGCGGGGGGCCGCACAAGCGGAGGGACAUGUGGUUUAAUUCGAUGAUGCGGGAGGAACCUUACCCGGGAUCAAAGGACGCAGGGAGGAAUGUGAAAGCAUACAGACCUUUUAGGACGGGUGUGGAGGUGGUGCAUGGUUGUAGUCAGCUCGUGCCGUGAGGUGUCGGGAUAAGUGUCAUAAUGAGAGCAACCCCCAUGUUCAGUUGCCUUCAGGUAGAGCUGGGCAUUGUGGAGAGAGUGCGGGGGCAAGCUGCGAGGAAGGCGGGGAUGAGGUCAAAUCAGCAUGUCCCUUAUGUCUGGGGAGACACACGAGUUACAAUGGCAGGAACAGGGGGAAGACAGGCGGUGACGCCGAGCGGAACCCG
rnacentral:rRNA from 1 species